GACGUAUGUAUUGGUAAGACGUUUGUAUGGACAGGAGUCUGUAUUGGUAAGACGUAUGUAUUGGUAAGACGUUUGUAUGGACAGGCUUCUGUAUUGGUAAUACGUCUGUAUGGACAGGCUUCUGUAUUGGUAAUACGUCUGUAUGGACAGGCUUCUGUAUUGGUAAGACGUUUGUAUAGACAGGCGUCUGUAUUGGUAAGACGUUUGUAUGGACAGGCGUCUGUAUUGGUAAGACGUUUGUAUGGACAGGCGUUUGUAUUGGUAAGACGUUUGUAUGGACAGGCGUCUGUAUUGGUAAUACGUCUGCCAAUACAAACGCCUGUCCAUACAGACGUAUUACCAAUACAGACGCCUGUCCAUACAAACGUCUUACCAAUACAUACGUCUUACCAAUACAAACGCCUGUCCAUACAGACGUAUUACCAAUACAGACGCCUGUCCAUACAAACGUCUUACCAAUACAUACGUCUUACCAAUACAGACGCCUGUCCGAUACAGACUCCUGUCCAUACAAACGUCUUACCAAUACAUACGUCUUACCAAUACAGACGCCUGUCCAUACAGACGUAUUACCAAUACAGACGCCUGUCCAUACAGACGUAUUACCAAUACAAACGCCUGUCCAUACAAACGUCUUACCAAUACAAACGCCUGUCCAUACAAACGUCUUACCAAUACAAACGCCUGUCCAUACAGACGUCUUGCCAAUACAAACGCCUGUCCAUACAAACGUCUUACCAAUACAAACGCCUGUCCAUACAGACGUAUUACCAAUACAGACGCCUGUCCAUACAGACGUCUGUAUGGACAGGCGUUUGUAUUGGCAAGACGUCUGUAUGGACAGGCGUUUGUAUUGGUAAGACGUUUGUAUGGACAGGCGUUUGUAUUGGCAAGACGUCUGUAUGGACAGGCGUUUGUAUUGGUAAGACGUUUGUAUGGACAGGCGUUUGUAUUGGUAAGACGUUUGUAUGGACAGGCGUUUGUAUUGGUAAUACGUCUGUAUGGACAGGCGUCUGUAUUGGUAAGACGUUUGUAUGGACAGGCGUUUGUAUUGGUAAGACGUUUGUAUAG
rnacentral:lncRNA from 1 species